rnacentral:rRNA from 1 species
CCGGCGACCGGCGCACGGGUGAGUAACACGUAUGCAACCUGGCCGUGACAGAUGGAUAACCGGGAGAAAUCCCGCCUAAUACAACAUAAUGCCGGGAGGGGACAUCCCCUGCCGGUCAAAGGGGGCGACCCCGGUCAUGGAUGGGCAUGCGGCGCAUUAGGUAGUUGGUGGGGCAACGGCCCACCAAGCCGACGAUGCGUAGGGGUUCUGAGAGGAACGGUCCCCCACAUUGGAACUGAGACACGGUCCAAACUCCUACGGAAGGCAGCAG